AACGAACGCUGGCGGCGGGCUUAACACAUGCAAGUCGAACGCCCCGCAAGGGGAGUGGCAGACGGGUGAGUAACGCGUGGGAAUCUACCCAGUUCUACGGAAUAACCCAGGGAAACUUGGACUAAUACCGUAUACGCCCUACGGGGGAAAGAUUUAUCGGAAUUGGAUGAGCCCGCGUUGGAUUAGCUAGUUGGUGGGGUAAUGGCCUACCAAGGCGACGAUCCAUAGCUGGUCUGAGAGGAUGAUCAGCCACACUGGGACUGAGACACGGCCCAGACUCCUACGGGAGGCAGCAGUGGGGAAUAUUGGACAAUGGGCGCAAGCCUGAUCCAGCCAUGCCGCGUGAGUGAUGAAGGCCUUAGGGUUGUAAAGCUCUUUCAGUGGGGACGAUAAUGACGGUACCCACAGAAGAAGCCCCGGCUAACUUCGUGCCAGCAGCCGCAGUAACAC
rnacentral:rRNA from 1 species